UACGGAGGGUGCAAGCGUUAAUCGGAAUUACUGGGCGUAAAGCGCGCGUAGGCGGCUUGGUAAGUCGGAUGUGAAAGCCCUGGGCUCAACCUGGGAACUGCAUUCGAUACUGUCAAGCUAGAGUGUGGGAGAGGGUGGUGGAAUUCCCGGUGUAGCGGUGAAAUGCGUAGAUAUCGGGAGGAACAUCAGUGGCGAAGGCGACCGCCUGGCCCAACACUGACGCUGAGGUGCGAAAGCGUGGGUAGCAAACAGG
rnacentral:rRNA from 1 species